GAAAUGUUGCACUUAGGAUGGUUUUUGUGGCGAUUGGGGGCGGUAGCUCGCCCUCCCUAAGCCCCUAAGUUACGCCACUGCUUACGAUUCUGCGAGUUAAAACCCAAACUCUUCGGCUCGAUUCUGCUCGAACAACAAAAAUAGUGUAUAUUACAAGUAAACGUAUUUAAUGCUGAGGGUAGUUGAAAAGGAUGGCGCUUUUCUGAGUGGUAAUUGUGUCACAGAAGAUAGAUAUUCCAAUUUUAGCAUUCUACUUGAAAAAAGCACCACUGUAGUUGCACUAAAGUUUUCAAUUGCAGCGACACCAAUUGCAGCGACAUUGUAAAGCCGAUUAAAGUCUUUAUUCUAGAUUAUCACUUGAUUAGCUAACCAUAUCAGCAUGCCAUUUGCACAAAAUAAAUCUCAGGCAAAACUUGCAGGGAAUACCUUUUGCGUAAUAUGAACUUCGCAUACCGAAUAAUACUUAAUACCGAAUAACACUUACUUCAACCUUGAUAAUUCUGGAUAUCACAAAAACCUCGUCCAAUAUAUAAUAAUGCUGUUUAUUAUACGACGCACUAUACUGUCGCAAUUAUUUCGUUCGAUUAAAUUCGUCUGAAUUAUAAAGCUCGAGUACAACUGUACAAGUGCUGCAUUCUGAAUAAAUGAUACAGAAUUCAACUUACAAAACAGACAGUAUCUUAUGAAUUAUAAAUACAAAAUACAAAACAAGUUUAACUCCAAAGAUCGAUAACAUUUUUAUAUUUAUCUACGUUUCAACUGUAUUUCAGUCAUCAGGAUAAACUCAUGAUGUUUAUAAGUACAACUAACAUGUAUGUCAUACUUACUAACUUAUUAACUCGUUAAAAAUAUACUGGGUUAUUCUACAUUUGUAUAAUUACAUGCACAGUUGUAUCCAUGCAUUAUCGAGAUAAUUUUCGGCUAAUGAUUAAGAGAAGUGCAGUACGGAGUAUACGUAAUUUAAUUAUACUCACCGAAUUUGUGA
rnacentral:lncRNA from 1 species